GAUGAACGCUGGCGGCGUGCCUAAUACAUGCAAGUCGAGCGAAUGGAUUAAGAGCUUGCUCUUAUGAAGUUAGCGGCGGACGGGUGAGUAACACGUGGGUAACCUGCCCAUAAGACUGGGAUAACUCCGGGAAACCGGGGCUAAUACCGGAUAACAUUUUGAACCGCAUGGUUCGAAAUUGAAAGGCGGCUUCGGCUGUCACUUACGGAUGGACCCGCGUCGCAUUAGCUAGUUGGUGAGGUAACGGCUCACCAAGACAACGAUGCGUAGCCGACCUGAGAGGGUGAUCGGCCACACUGGGACUGAGACACGGCCCAGACUCCUACGGGAGGCAGCAGUAGGGAAUCUUCCGCAAUGGACGAAAGUCUGACGGAGCAACGCCGCGUGAGUGAUGAAGGCUUUCGGGUCGUAAAACUCUGUUGUUAGGGAAGAACAAGUGCUAGUUGAAUAAGCUGGCACCUUGACGGUACCUAACCAGAAAGCCACGGCUAACUACGUGCCAGCCGCCGCCGUAA
rnacentral:rRNA from 1 species